rnacentral:rRNA from 1 species
GACGAACGCUGGCGGCGUGCUUAACACAUGCAAGUCGAACGGUAAGGCCCUUCGGGGUACACGAGUGGCGAACGGGUGAGUAACACGUAGGUGAUCUGCCCUGCACUUCGGGAUAAGCCUGGGAAACUGGGUCUAAUACCGGAUAGGACCCUGGGAUGCAUGUCCUGGGGUGGAAAGCUUUUGCGGUGUGGGAUGGGCCCGCGGCCUAUCAGCUUGUUGGUGGGGUGAUGGCCUACCAAGGCGACGACGGGUAGCCGGCCUGAGAGGGUGACCGGCCACACUGGGACUGAGAUACGGCCCAGACUCCUACGGGAGGCAGCAGUGGGGAAUAUUGCACAGUGGGCGCAAGCCUGAUGCAGCGACGCCGCGUGAGGGAUGACGGCCUUCGGGUUGUAAACCUCUUUCAGCACCGACGAAGCGCAAGUGACGGUAGGUGCAGAAGAAGGACCGGCCAACUACGUGCCAGCCGCCGCGGUAA